rnacentral:rRNA from 1 species
GUGGGGAAUCUUGCGCAAUGGGCGAAAGCCUGACGCAGCCAUGCCGCGUGAAUGAUGAAGGUCUUAGGAUUGUAAAAUUCUUUCACCGGGGACGAUAAUGACGGUACCCGGAGAAGAAGCCCCGGCUAACUUCGUGCCAGCAGCCGCGGUAAUACGAAGGGGGCUAGCGUUGCUCGGAAUUACUGGGCGUAAAGGGCGCGUAGGCGGACAGUUUAGUCAGAGGUGAAAGCCCAGGGCUCAACCUUGGAAUUGCCUUUGAUACGGGCUGUCUUGAGUACGGGAGAGGUGAGUGGAACUCCGAGUGUAGAGGUGAAAUUCGUAGAUAUUCGGAAGAACACCAGUGGCGAAGGCGACUCACUGGCCCGUUACUGACGCUGAGGCGCGAAAGCGUGGGGAGCAAACAGGAUUAGAUACCCGAGUAGUCC